UGCAGCACUGCUCACAUCACCGGGACGAGCGACUGCUGUUGAAUGCUCGUUAAUAAAAUAUUAACUACUGGAGGGUUAAAUAUGGAAACGCUAAAGCCGCCCUGACUGAAUGUAAGUGUUUCUAAACGUAAUCAGAUCUGUCUGUCUAGUUUUUGUAAAAAAAAAAUAAACGGUAGCUAUCGCGCGCUAAUCUGAUUUUAUUUUAUAUACCUAGUGGGUUUGUAUCGAUGUCGUCGUCCCCCCCCUUCUUCUUUUAAUAGAGAAACAGAACACUUUCACAACAUUCUCGUUUAAAUUGGGGAAAUCUACAGGGUUUUCCACACUCUAACCCCAGAACUUGGACAGGCUAGCUAGUGUUUGCUAGCUUGAAUGGACCGCGUGGAAGCGCGCGCCGUCUUUUUUAACCCCCCCCCCCCCCCCCCCCCCCUUAAAAUAAAUAUUUUAUAAAAGGUAGUUGUACGUUCCUUUACACGUGUUUCAAUAUGUAGAAGGUUUUACACUUUUGGGUGUGUAUUGAGUGGAAGUGACGGAAACUACGUUUUCAUUUAUUUUUUUAAAUGAAUAUAAGCGAGGUGCGCGAGCACGUGAAUCAAUGUUCCCGCCUAUUAAAGCCUCUAAACCCUCACAGCCAGGGCUGCACGUGCUGGUAUUAAAACCUAUUGUAGUGUAUAAACAUGGAGAAAACAGUAAGAUGCGGUAUGACUGGAAAGGGUCGAAGGUCAUGUUAUGAUUCCAAUAAACCCACCUGAUAAGCUCAUUUGUGGAAAUCAUGGUGUCCUUCAAUAUGAAUGAAUCCUGGAAGGAACUUCCAGCUUGAACAUGAGCUUCAGCAGGUAACCACCUAGAUAGAGGCUGUGAUUGGACCAGAUCAACCUCUGAUUACAUCAAAGACUAGGUACUUUUAAAUCAUAAACUCUAGUUAUAGUGCAUGAUUCUUAAGGGUUUUCAUGGUCUUUCCUGCUCCAACACUCCUGCCUUUUAUAAAAGUUAUUGCUAAUGCAUUUCCAAGGUGCUCCAUGCAAUGUCAUGCACAUUGUAGUAAGUUCACAUGGCCUUUUCCUCAUCUGCAUUCUAACAAUCAGAAUCCAGAUUUUCAGUUGUGAUUAAUUUCCAAUUAUAAGAAGGUAGAUUACAGGUUAAACCAAUCAAUGAAAUGUAAAUUAAGGUUUGGAUGGCUGGGCAGAUGAAUAGAACCUGUUGGGUUUGGGUGCUUGCUUGGGGACUGAGCAGUUGUGUUGGUAUGGAGAAACUGCACAUACAAGCCUGUGAUGAAGAAAAGUUAUCCCUGUCUGAAAUGAUCAUGUGGAGAUACGGUAACCUGAGGCUUGUCCUCAUACUCUACACUGUGUAUGUGAAGGGAGCGAACACUAACUGACCUGUAUUGUUUCAGGUGAUGUAGGAGGAAGAUUCAGUGAUGUCCUUGAUGAAAUGGACACACCCAGUGGUGAAAUGUCCUGGGAGGAAGAAGUCACUUUGUUCACUGGACUGCUAUUAUUGCUGACUUGUUUGACUGUAUAAAUAAAGCUACUUAUCAAAAGUUGCCUGAAGUGUCAUAUUUU
ensembl:lncRNA